GCCUGGGUGGCUCAGUCGGUUGAGCGUCCGACUUCGGCUCAGGUCACGAUCUUGGAGUCCGUGAGUUCGAGCCCCGCGUCAGGCU
rnacentral:tRNA from 1 species